GCCGAUGUGGCGAAAUGGCAGACGCAACGGACUUAAAAUCCGUUUCCAUUAAACUGGAGUGUGGGUUCGAGUCCCGCCAUCGGCA
rnacentral:tRNA from 1 species